rnacentral:rRNA from 1 species
UACGUAGGGGCCUAGCGUUGUCCGGAUUUAUUGGGCGUAAAGGGCGUGUAGGCGGUUUGUUAAGUCAUGUGUGAAAUCCCUCGGCUCAACCGGGGAACGACGCAUGAAACUGGCAAGCUAGAGUACCAAAGAGGGGGGUGGAAUUCCCGGUGUAGCGGUGAAAUGCGUAGAUAUCUGGAGGAACACCGGUGGCGAAGGCGGCAUCCUGGACCGAUACUGACGCUGAGGAGCGAAAGCCAGGGGAGCAAACGGG